rnacentral:rRNA from 1 species
CUCCGGGCUUUGUUUGCGCAGGAUAGGUGGGAGGCGUUGAAAGUUUUCUUGCGGGAAGAUUUGAGCCAUUGGUGAGAUACCACUCUAACAAUGCUAGGAUUCUAACCCUAUGUCGUUAUCCGGCUAGGGGACAGUUUCAGGUGGUCAGUUUGACUGGGGCGGUCGCCUCCUAAAAGGUAACGGAGGCGUGCAAAGGUUCCCUCAGGCUGGUUGGAAAUCAGUCGUAGAGUGUAAAGGCAUAAGGGAGCUUGAUUGUGAGACCUACAAGUCGAACAAAGACGAAAGUCGGCCUUAGUGAUCCGGCGGUACCGAGUGGAAGGGCCGUCGCUCAACGGAUAAAAGUUACUCUAGGGAUAACA